GUGGGGAAUAUUCCGCAAUGGACGAAAGUCUGACGGAGCAACGCCGCGUGAGUGAUGAAGGUUUUCGGACUGUAAAGCUCUGUUGUUUAGGACGAAAGUGCCUGUUGCAAACAGUUACAGGUAUUGACGGUACUAAACGAGGAAGCCACGGCUAACUACGUGCCAGCAGCCGCGGUAAUACGUAGGUGGCAAGCGUUGUCCGGAAUUAUUGGGCGUAAAGAGCAUGUAGGCGGGAAUCUAAGUCUGUUGUGAAAAUGCGGGGCUCAACCCCGUAUUGCGAUGGAAACUGGGUUUCUUGAGUGCAGGAGAGGAAAGGGGAAUUCCCAGUGUAGCGGUGAAAUGCGUAGAUAUUGGGAGGAACACCAGUGGCGAAGGCGCCUUUCUGGACUGUGUCUGACGCUGAGAUGCGAAAGCCAGGGUAGCGAACGGGAUUAGAUACCCCUGUAGUCC
rnacentral:rRNA from 1 species